GGGAUAACGCCUGGAAACGGGUGNUAAUACCGGAUACGCUCAUUUGGUUGCAUAUCCGGAUGAGGAAAGGAUUUCCGUUAUCAGAUGGGUCCGCGUCCCAUUAGCUUGUUGGUAGGGUAACGGCCUACCAAGGCGACGAUGGGUAGCCGGCCUGAGAGGGCGACCGGCCACACUGGAACUGAGACACGGUCCAGACUCCUACGGGAGGCAGCAGUGGGGAAUCUUCCGCAAUGGGCGCAAGCCUGACGGAGCAACGCCGCGUUUUAAGAAGCCUUUCGGGUUGUAAAGCUCUGUCCAGGGGAAGAAACAAAUG
rnacentral:rRNA from 1 species